UACAGAGGAUGCAAGCGUUAUCCGGAAUGAUUGGGCGUAAAGCGUCUGUAGGUGGCUUUUAAGUCCGCCGUCAAAUCCCAGGGCUCAACUCUGGACAGGCGGUGGAAACUACCAAGCUGGAGUACGGUAGGGCAGAGGGAAUUUCCGGUGGAGCGGUGAAAUGCGCAGAGAUCGGAAAGAACACCAACGGCGAAAGCACUCUGCUGGCCGACACUGACACUGAGAGACGAAAGCUAGGGAGCGAAUGGG
rnacentral:rRNA from 1 species